CGAGUGGAACAUACGGCGGCGGGGCGGCUUGGACCGCUCUGAGGAAAGUCCGGGCUUCGCAGAGCACGGUAACUGCUAACGGCAGCCGGGGGUGACCCCAGGGAAAGUGCAACAGAAAGCAAACCGCCGCGCCCCCGGGCGCGGUAAGGAUGAAAGGGCGAGGUAAGAGCUCACCAGCGGAUGGGUGACCAUCCGGCUUUGUAAACCCUACCGGAAGCAACGCCUAUAUGGGACGUACAGCGCUGCUCGCGUGUCCCGAGGGCGGCACGAGCCCGCCAGCAAUGACGGGCCUAGACAGAUCGUCGUUUAAUACAGAACCCGGCUUACGGUCUAUCUCGUUUU
rnacentral:RNase_P_RNA from 1 species